CGUACGCUGGCGGCACGCCUAACACAUGCAAGUCGAACGCAGUAGCAAUACUGAGUGGCAGACGGGUGAGUAACAUGUGGGAAUCUGCCUUGUGGUUCAGGACAACAUUGGGAAACCGAUGCUAAUACUGGAUAAGCCCUUACGGGGAAAGUUUUAAUGCCAUAAGAUGAGCCCGCAUUUGAUUAGUUAGUUGGUGAGGUAAUGGCUCACCAAGGCAAUGAUCAAUAGCUGAUCUGAGAGGAUGAUCAGCCACACUGGGACUGAGACACGGCCCAGACUCCUACGGGAGGCAGCAGUGGGGAAUUUUCCGCGAUGGGCGAAAGCCUGACGGAGCAACGCCGCGUGAGGGAUGAAGGCCUCUGGGCUGUAAACCUCUUUUAUCAAGGAAGAAGAUCUGACGGUACUUGAUGAAUAAGCCACGGCUAAUUCCGUGCCAGCAG
rnacentral:rRNA from 1 species